rnacentral:rRNA from 1 species
AACGAACGCUGGCGGCAGGCUUAACACAUGCAAGUCGAGCGCCCCGCAAGGGGAGCGGCAGACGGGUGAGUAACGCGUGGGAAUCUACCCAUCUCUACGGAAUAACGCAUGGAAACGUGUGCUAAUACCGUAUACGUCCUUCGGGAGAAAGAUUUAUCGGAGAUGGAUGAGCCCGCGUUGGAUUGGCUAGUUGGUGGGGUAAAGGCCUACCAAGGCGACGAUCCAUAGCUGGUCUGAGAGGAUGAUCAGCCACACUGGGACUGAGACACGGCCCAGACUCCUACGGGAGGCAGCAGUGGGGAAUAUUGGACAAUGGGCGCAAGCCUGAUCCAGCCAUGCCGCGUGAGCGAUGAAGGCCCUAGGGUUGUAAAGCUCUUUCACCGGUGAAGAUAAUGACGGUAACCGGAGAAGAAGCCCCGGCUAACUUCGUGCCAGCAGCCGCCGUAACAC